AUUGAACGCUGGCGGCAUGCCUUACACAUGCAAGUCGAACGGUAACGGGUCCUUCGGGAUGCCGACGAGUGGCGAACGGGUGAGUAAUAUAUCGGAACGUGCCCAGUAGUGGGGGAUAACUGCUCGAAAGAGCAGCUAAUACCGCAUACGACCUGAGGGUGAAAGGGGGGGAUCGCAAGACCUCUCGCUAUUGGAGCGGCCGAUAUCAGAUUAGCUAGUUGGGGGGGUAAAGGCCUACCAAGGCAACGAUCUGUAGUUGGUCUGAGAGGACGACCAGCCACACUGGGACUGAGAGACGGCCCAGACUCCUACGGGGGGCAGCAGUGGGGAAUUUUGGACAAUGGGCGCAAGCCUGAUCCAGCAAUGCCGCGUGCAGGAAGAAGGCCUUCGGGUUGUAAACUGCUUUUGUCAGGGAAGAAAUCUUCUGGGCUAAUACCCCGGGAGGAUGACGGUACCUGAAGAAUAAGCACCGGCUAACUACGUGCCAGCCGCCGCGGUAA
rnacentral:rRNA from 1 species